rnacentral:rRNA from 1 species
AGUGAACGCUGGCGGUAGGCCUAACACAUGCAAGUCGAACGGCAGCACAGUAAGAGCUUGCUCUUACGGGUGGCGAGUGGCGGACGGGUGAGGAAUACAUCGGAAUCUACUUUUUCGUGGGGGAUAACGUAGGGAAACUUACGCUAAUACCGCAUACGACCUACGGGUGAAAGCAGGGGAUCUUCGGACCUUGCGCGAUUGAAUGAGCCGAUGUCGGAUUAGCUAGUUGGCGGGGUAAAGGCCCACCAAGGCGACGAUCCGUAGCUGGUCUGAGAGGAUGAUCAGCCACACUGGAACUGAGACACGGUCCAGACUCCUACGGGAGGCAGCAGUGGGGAAUAUUGGACAAUGGGCGCAGGCCUGAUACAGCCAUACCGCGUGGGUGAAGAAGGCCUUCGGGUUGGAAAGCCCUUUUGUUGGGAAAGAAAAGCAGCAGGUUAAUACCCCGCUGUUCUGACGGUACCCAAAGAAUAAGCACCGGCUAACUUCG